rnacentral:lncRNA from 1 species
AUAAACUUCACUGCUAAACCCUGUAUGUUCUAUGGGACAAUACAAAUGAUUUCAGCACAAUUUGCAGUACCCUAUAUAUAUAUCACUUUGAACAGAAAAGAUGGGACUUUUUCUCACUAAAAAGAAUACUAAGGCUGGUACCAAACAAGUUGAUUUCACUUUGCAUUCAUGCCUGGGAACAAUCUUGAGACAAGCUCUGGUUGCUGUUGUCACUAUUGUAUUCCUUCAAAAUCACAGUAUAUUGUCUUAUUGGGUGUGCCCAGUAAUAAAAUCCGUAACCACCAAGUUAGAUAUUUUGGGUGACAGACGUGCAGUCCAGACCAAGUGUGUGCAGGAAAAUUGAAGUAAUGGAUGACACUGAAAUUUGAAAUGAGAUAGUUGCUACUGAUUUGAUCUCAUUAUAAUGUCAAAAGCUUCAAUAUUUAUUUUUUCAACUCAUUUGCAAACAUCCAUCAACAAGCAAUAGAGUAUAAAUUCUCUUGCAACAAGCUAGCAAGUCAAGUACAUUUUUACUUUCUGUCAUUGCAGAUUUUAUUGACUCAUUUGGUACAAAUCUAAGAAAUCAAGUAUGUAAAAUAUAUAAUGAUACAUUCUAGAAUGGAUUUAUAAUUAAUCUACACCCUUGUGAGGGUUUAUAAUCAUUAAAAACCCAGAGGCAGUGUUAUCUGUAAUUUAAU